UACGUAGGGUGCGAGCGUUAAUCGGAAUUACUGGGCGUAAAGCGUGCGCAGGCGGUUGUGCAAGACAGAUGUGAAAUCCCCGGGCUUAACCUGGGAAUUGCAUUUGUGACUGCACGGCUAGAGUGUGUCAGAGGGGGGUAGAAUUCCACGUGUAGCGGUGAAAUGCGUAGAUAUGUGGAGGAAUACCGAUGGCGAAGGCAGCCCCCUGGGAUAACACUGACGCUCAUGCACGAAAGCGUGGGGAGCAAACAGG
rnacentral:rRNA from 1 species